AUGCUCGAAGGCGUUGAAGCGGCCGCUGCGGCCGAGGCCGACCUUCACCUCGUCCGAGACGAUCAGAAUGCCGU
rnacentral:sRNA from 1 species